rnacentral:tRNA from 1 species
CAGAGUGUAGCUAAGAUAGAAAAGCAUCUCCCUUACACCGAGAAGUCAUUCGUGCAAGUCGAAUCACCCUGA